UGGUCUGUCACUGACGCUGAGGCUNGAAAGCGUGGGUAGCGAACAGGAUUAGAUACCCUGGUAGUCCACGCCGUAAACGAUGAGUGCUAGGUGUUAGGCCCUUUCCGGGGCUUAGUGCCGGAGCUAACGCAAUAAGCACUCCGCCUGGGGAGUACGACCGCAAGGUUGAAACUCAAAGGAAUUGACGGGGGCCCGCACAAGCGGUGGAGCAUGUGGUUUAAUUCGAAGCAACGCGAAGAACCUUACCAGGUCUUGACAUCCCGAUGCUAUUCUUAGAGAUAGGAAGUUACUUCGGUACAUCGGAGACAGGUGGUGCAUGGUUGUCGUCAGCUCGUGUCGUGAGAUGUUGGGUUAAGUCCCGCAACGAGCGCAACCCUUAUUGUUAGUUGCCAUCAUUAAGUUGGGCACUCUAGCGAGACUGCCGGUAAUAAACCGGAGGAAGGUGGGGAUGACGUCGAAUCAUCACGCCCCUUAUGACCUGGGCUACACACGUGCUACAAUGGUCGGUACAACGAGUUGCGAGCCGGUGACGGCAAGCUAAUCUCUGAAAGCCGAUCUCAGUUCGGAUUGGAGGCUGCAACUCGCCUCCAUGAAGUCGGAAUCGCUAGUAAUCGCGGAUCAGCACGCCGCGGUGAAUACGUUCCCGGGCCUUGUACACACCGCCCGUCACACCACGAGAGUUUGUAACACCCGAAGUCGGUGAGGUAACCUUUUAGGGGCCAGCCGC
rnacentral:rRNA from 1 species